rnacentral:rRNA from 1 species
CAGCCGCCGCGGUAAUACCGGCGGCCCGAGUGGCGGUCACUAUUAUUGGGCUUAAAGCGUCCGUAGCCGGGGUGGGAAGUCCUCCGGGAAAUCUGGCCGCUUAACGGUCAGAAUGCCGGAGGAUACUCCCAGCCUAGGGAGCGGGAGAGGCCGAGGGGAUUCCCGGAGUAGGGGUGGAAUCCUAUAAUCCCGGGAGGACCACCUGUGGCGAAGGCGCUCGGCUGGAACGCGUCCGACGGUGAGGGACGAAGGCCAGGGGAGCAAACCGGAUUAGAUACCCGGGUAGUCCUGGCUGUAAACGAUGCGGACUUUGUGUCGGACAAGCUAUGAGCUUGUCCGGUGCCGGAGGGAAACCGUUAAGUCCGCCGCCUGGGGAGUACGGCCGCAAGGCUGAAACUUAAAGGAAUUGGCGGG